rnacentral:rRNA from 1 species
GACGUAGGGGGGCGAGCGUUUGUCCGGAUUUAUUGGGCGUAAAGCGUGCGUAGGCGGCUGCGCAAGUCGGGUGUGAAACCCCGGGGCUCAACCCCGGAACUGCAUCCGAUACUGCGUGGCUAGAGGUAGGUAGGGGAGAUCGGAAUUCCUGGUGUAGCGGUGAAAUGACGCAGAUAUCAGGAGGAACACCGGUGGCGAAGGCGGAUCUCUGGGCCUUACCUGACGCUCAGGCACGAAAGCUAGGGGAGCGAACAGG